GAAACAAUCAAUCGAUAUUAGAUAUAAUAAACUAAACACGACGGAACAAGAUAAGAGCUGCAAAAAGAUUCACAAAAAACAUAAUAUCAAUAUCAAUAUCAAUCUCAAACUCAAACACAAUAACAACAACUAAACUAAAACAUAUAAAUUUUAUAAAUUCAACUAAAAAACAACAACUUACAUUAAACAAUAAAAAAAAAAUCCACAACAUCAACAACAACAUCAAUAAACAACCUCUAGGAAUUAAGGUCUCAACAACAAGAACAACA
rnacentral:lncRNA from 1 species